AGCACCACAACAGGUGGAGCCUGCGGUUUAAUCGGAUUCAACGCCGGGAAACUCACCAGAUAAGACAGCUGAAUGAUAGUCGGGCUGAAGACUCUACUUGACUAGCUGAGAGGAGGUGCAUGGCCGUCGUCAGUUCGUACUGUGAAGCAUCCUGUUAAGUCAGGCAACGAGCGAGACCCACGCCAACAGUUGCCAGCUCGUCCUCCGGGAUGGUGGGGACACUGUUGGGACCGCCUCUGCUAAAGAGGAGGAAGGAAUGGGCAACGGUAGGUCAGCAUGCCCCGAAUUAUCUGGGCUACACGCGGGCUACAAUGGGUGGGACAAUGGGUAUCGACACCGAAAGGUGAAGGCAAUCUCCUAAACCCAUCCGUAGUUCGGAUUGUGGGCUGCAACUCGCCCACAUGAAGCUGGAAUCUGUAGUAAUCGUGUCUCAAAAUGGCACGGUGAAUAUGUCCCUGCUCCUU
rnacentral:rRNA from 1 species